AUCAGAGGCAAAGCGAACGUUGUGUGUACUAUUGCAAAAUAUAUAGCGGAUCUCCACGGUUAGGAUACAGACCACAACGCUUUGGACGUAUCUUUAAAAAAGAUUAAAAUCAGAGACUUUUUGGAUUUGUCUGGGGACAUUUUAAACAUUUUGUGGCAAAUUGGAUUUAAAACAUUUCGGAUACUGGAUACCUAGUUUGAUUUGUCCACAGAGCUUGUUUAAAACGUUUUCACCGCAUUUUAGGGUUUAUUUUUAAUUAAAGGCUUCUUAAAACAUGUGUGAAAAUGUGUAUAUUAUACAAUGAGUCUUAUAUUGUCUGCUCUGACAAAAAUAAAUUAUUAUUUUAGAUUUUA